AGUGAACGCUGGCGGUAGGCCUAACACAUGCAAGUCGAACGGCAGCACAGUAAGAGCUUGCUCUUACGGGUGGCGAGUGGCGGACGGGUGAGGAAUACAUCGGAAUCUACUUUUUCGUGGGGGAUAACGUAGGGAAACUUACGCUAAUACCGCAUACGACCUACGGGUGAAAGCAGUGGAUCUUCGGACCUUGCGCGAUUGAAUGAGCCGAUGUCGGAUUAGCUAGUUGGCGGGGUAAAGGCCCACCAAGGCGACGAUCCGUAGCUGGUCUGAGAGGAUGAUCAGCCACACUGGAACUGAGACACGGUCCAGACUCCUACGGGAGGCAGCAGUGGGGAAUAUUGGACAAUGGGCGCAAGCCUGAUCCAGCCAUACCGCGUGGGUGAAGAAGGCCUUCGGGUUGUAAAGCCCUUUUGUUGGGAAGGAAAAGCAGCAGGUUAAUACCCCGCUGUUCUGACGGUACCCAAAGAAUAAGCACCGGCUAACUUCGUG
rnacentral:rRNA from 1 species